ACAAAAUACCCAAUACCUGUAAUUUAAAAGAAGAGAGAUUUAUUUUGGCUUACAGUUUCAAUGGAUUCAGUUCGUGGUUGGCUGGCUCCAAGGCAGAAACAGCAUGACAGAGUAGCAUGUCAGAGGAAAGCUGUGUGCUGCUUGAUGUGAACAGCUCACUGCUCACCUCACUGCAAGUGAGCAGAGAGAAGGGAGAGAGAGAAGGGAGGAGCCGGGGAUGAGAAUAUACUCUUCCAAGUCACGUUCCCCGGCACCCGCCCCUACCAACCAGGCCCCACCUCUAUACAUGAGACUUUGUCGGGGUGUUCGAGACCUAAGCCAUAGCAGCUGCGCUUGCACAUGACAUUCCUGAGUACCCACUGCACACUGCACACUGAAGUAUGAUACAAGGCCUCUGGUUCUCCGCCAGCAGAGCCCAGCAAGAUAGGUUCUUGGUAUGUUUUAGAAUGAUUUGAAUCCAAGUAAAUCCAUGUUUUGAGGCUCAAAUGAAACCAUGAGUUUAAAGGUGCUUUGAGAAAAAAGAGUGGUAAGCAAUUUUUAGUUCAUAAAACAGCUAGAGUUGAGAGAAUAUUGAGUUAGGGAUCUAGGGACCCUUAUGAGGUCUAGAAGACGUUAUGGGGCAGGAACCACAGCCUAAACGUAGAGGAGAAACUGAAAUGUUCUGGCGCCUAAAGUCCCUGAUGCCAGCUGGGUGACCUUGAGUGAGUCACGUAGCAUCCUCCCUGUAAAGGAGGAUGUUAAGAUGAUAUUGCAGGCUUGGUGAGAAGAUCCCUGGGAAGGUACAGGAAGACCUGCCUGCACUUGUAUGCCAGCCACUGCCUGGCAGCAAACAGAUGGCACCCGCAAGCUGGGAAACAGGAGGAGAGUGAGCUCUUUACAAAGAAGCUGCUGGGGUGGGAAGACCCACAGGGACAGCCUGAUACCUAGCUAGCAAUGGGGUGAAUGAGGUGAGGAAGUGACCGUCACUUCCCAUAAGCCUGAAGGGUAGAGGAGAAAGCAGUUGUCAGAAUUCAGAGUUUGUGCAACAUCCAGGGCAUAUUGGACAGGAAUGGAGGCUGAUGCUAAGAUGGAAGCCAGUCCCUGGUGAAGCCUCUGCAGGGGGUGGGCGGGGAGUAAAUGUGCUGGCCAUCUUCUCUUCCCACCCUCCUAGCUCCUGCUUCUUCCUUCCAGGGGCCAAACUCCACUAAAGGCCAAGGCUAAAGGAGCCCCAUGGGUAGGUCAGCCUCGGGGUUCAGAGGAAGCUGGGGAAGCAGGAGAGAGAAUCCAGUGGGGCCAGUGACUAUACCCCCAACCCCAGCCUCUGGAAGCUGCUCAACCUUUGGGAGCAUUUUGUUUCUUUGUUUAAAAAAACAAUUUCUAAUCUCUGGAUAUAACUGCAAGUGAGUGAGGAGGCCACAUGCUUCCUCCAAGGCACCACUUAACUGAAGAUUGGACUUCCUGAAUGCCAGGCGUGCAGGGUCUGCUCUCAUCUGAGGCACGAAGGGUAAGAGCAUCAACCUUCGCCUAACUCAGGCAGAACCUUCAAACUCAGGAAACCGCACACUCAUGGGACACAAGCAGGACUGGACAAGGCUGUGCUGGCAAAUAGCCCAACAGGGACUUCCUCCUCCCAGUCGCCCAGGGCAGGCUGACAAAGGCUUCUUGAUCUGAACUUACACCAUCUGGAACACAAGAUGCCCCCUCUCUCAAUGUGUGAGGAAGAGUCUGGCAAAUUGUAUAUGGACUUCUCUGGCCUCAGACCGGAAGUGACACUUACAGUUUCUGCUCAGGUUUUCGUGGAUCAGAACUAGCCACACCACCUCACCAAAUGUCAAGAGGGCUAGGAAAUGCAAGGGGGCAAAUGGCUUCCUUGAGGCAUGUUUCUUUUCCACAAGAC